rnacentral:lncRNA from 1 species
UUUUUUUUUUUUUUUUUCUCUUAUAAUAGUUUUUGGAUUUUGCAGUAAUGGUGUAACUAAUUUCAGGAGAAGGGUCGGAUUUCUAUAGGGGAAAUUGGGUAAUGGGAUUUGGUAGAGACAAAGUUACGGGGAGCUAUAAAGUAACGAAGAUGUGCCUUCUACCUAGAGAGGAAGGAUGCGAUGUUCUUGAUGUUGAAACUGGUCAAUGGAAGAACCUGAGUCUACCUACUUAUAUGGCCCAGGUGGGAAGAAAAUUAUUAUAGAUAGAGUUUGGGCCGUAUGUUUAGGCCCGUUACUUGUCGUUCAAGUCAUUGUCGGUUUAUGUAAACCCUAGAGAUGUUCUCUAUAUAAGUCUUUGUAUCACGAUUUAAUAAAACAAGUCAGUUCGAUAUCUAAAUCUACAUGGUAUCAGAGCUAAGAUCUCUCAAAAAAACCCUAGGUUAAUCGAUAGUUUCGAUUCUCCUUCAAAGAACAAUCGAUAGUUUCGAUUGUGUGUUGUUCAAAGUUUAUUCUCUUUCAAUAACAAGUCAUCAUGUCCACGAUUGACGAUGGCUCCUCCGCUACUCGGCAGGCUGCUAAACAACCGGACGCCCCGGUGGUGUCUCCAUAUCUCUUAGCAAACUCCGACAAUCCCGGGGCUCUCAUCUCGACGGUCUCGUUAAACGGUGACAACUACAACGAGUGGGCAACAGAGAUGUUAAACGCUCUUCAAGCAAAACGAAAGACAGGGUUCAUUAAUGGAUCGAUACCGAAACCACCUGCUAAUGAUCCUAAUUAUGAAAACUGGAAGACAGUCAAUUCCAUGAUUGUUGGGUGGAUUCGAACUUCCAUAGAACCCAAGGUGAAAUCUACUGUUACCUUUAUCUCUGAUGCUCGCUUAUUGUGGUUAGAUUUGAAACAACGUUUCUCCGUGGGAAAUAAGGUAAGAAUUCAUCAAGUUAUCGCUCAGCUCGCGUUGUGUCGUCAAGAUGGUCAAAGUGUUCUUGAAUAUUUUGGUCGAUUGUCUACUUUGUGGGAAGAGUAUCAGCUUUACAAGCCCAUCACUGUGUGUUCUUGCGGGCUGUGUACGUGCGGUGCAACCUCUGCGCCGGCUAAAGAAAGAGAGGAAGAAAAGAUUCAUCAAUUUGUACUUGGUCUCGAUGAGUCUAGAUUUGGUGGACUGUGUGCUACGCUCAUCAAUAUGGAUCCACUUCCCUCUCUAGGUGAAAUUUAUUCAAGAGUUAUUCGUGAAGAACAGAGGCUAUCUUCGGUCCGAUUACGUGAACAAAAGGAGGAAGCAGUCGGCUUCUUGGCUCGUCGUGAGCAACAUGACCAAUUCUCUCGCCCUGACAUGUCUUCUAAUCAAUCCGACAACACCAACAUUAGACCAGAUUCUAUCAUCAAGGGUCGCGUUUCAUGCUCUCAUUGUGGUCGUACCGGGCAUGAGAAAAAGGAGUGUUGGAGUAUUGUUGGCUUUCCGGAUUGGUGGUCUGAGAGAAGUGGAGGCCGAGGGUCGAAUAAUAGAGGCAGAGGAGGACGCAGUUCAGGACGCGGUCGAGGACAAGCUAUGACAGCUCACGCAACCAGCCCUAAUCCCACCAAUCUCCCGCAAUUCACACCCGACCAAAUACAAGCUCUUGCUCAAAUGCUCAAAGGACAAUCAAACAACGGGACUGCAGAUAAACUCUCUGGUAAGACACACUUUGGCAAUGUUAUUCUUGACACCGGAGCCUCACAUCAUAUGACCGGGAAGCUCUCUUUAUUGACGGACAUUGUCGUUAUACCACCGUGUUCGGUGGGUUUUGCGGAUGGAAGCAACACGUUUGCCUCACAUAUGGGCGUGUUUCCGCUUUCUACCAACGUUGCAUUGACUAAUGUUCUUUAUGUCCCAACAUUAACUUGCACCUUAUUAUCCGUCUCUAAAAUUGUGAAACAAACAAAGUGUGUUGCUACCUUUACUGACACAAUUUGUGUUUUACAGGACCGUUUUUCGAGGACUUUGAUUGGAAGCGGUGAAGAGCGUGAGGGGGUUUAUUAUCUUACGGACGUCGCUACAGCAAAAAUUCAUACCGCCACUGUCUCUUCCGAUCAAGCCUUGUGGCAUCAGCGUUUAGGACAUCCUAGUUUUACAGUACUUUCUUCUUUACCGGUGUUUUCAAAAUCUUCUUCUUCAGUCGGCUCUCAUUCAUGUGACGUGUGUUUUAGAGCUAAACAAACAAGAGAAGUUUUUCCUCUUAGUAUUAAUAAAUCAACCGCGUGUUUCUCGUUGAUUCAUUGUGAUGUUUGGGGUCCAUACCGUGUCCCGUCGUCUUAUGGUGCGGUUUAUUUUUUGACAAUAGUUGAUGAUUUUUCAAGAGCUGUUUGGACUUAUCUUCUCCUUGCAAAGUCUGAAGUACGUACGGUGCUUACUAAUUUUUUUGCUUACACGGAGAAGCAAUUUGGCAAGUCAGUUAAAACGGUUCGUAGUGAUAACGGGACUGAAUUUAUGUGUCUUUCAUCGUACUUUCGAGAACAUGGAAUCAUUCACCAAACUUCGUGCGUUGGCACUCCUCAGCAAAAUGGUCGCGUUGAGCGUAAGCAUAGGCAUAUUCUCAACGUUGCUCGGGCACUCUUAUUCCAAGCCAGUCUACCUAUUAAAUUCUGGGGAGAAGCGGUGUUAACUGCUGCCUACUUGAUUAAUCGCACUCCGUCAUCACUUCACAAAGGUCUUUCUCCCUACGAAAUUCUUCAUGAUUCCAAGCCCAAUUAUGAUCAGUUGAGGGUUUUCGGAUCAGCCUGUUAUGUUCAUCAUAUCUCUCGAGAUAAAGACAAAUUUGGAGAAAGAAGUCGCUUGUGUAUUUUUAUAGGGUAUCCAUUUGCACAAAAAGGUUGGAAGGUGUUCGAUAUUGAAAAGAAUGAGUUUCUAAUUUCACGAGAUGUUGUCUUUCGGGAAACCGUUUUUCCAUAUGCAUAUACUACUCCUAGUCCCGCAUCCUUGUCUCCAUCUCCGAUUAUUUGUGAUGAAGAUUGGAUGGUCUCCACUGACAGGGGGAGUACGCCGGAAACCACCACGGGUAGUGGUUCUACACAAGUUUCUAUUGUUGAUACGGUUUCUGCUCCUGAACCAAUUCCUGCACCGGUCUCCGUAUCCACACCGACUCCCGCAGCCAACUUAGUCUCCGACCCGUCUUCUCCGCCGGAAACAAGUUCAGUUCCGACAAAAUCUGUAGUCGCCGGUGAUGAUUCCUCUGUUGCAGUCUUGACACCGGCUAGCAACUCGCAGUCCGAAGUCGAUACUUCAAGUUCUCAUGGUGAAAUUACGCCUCCUCCACGUCAAGGCAAGCGUCAAAUUCAACCUCCUGUACGUUUAAAGGAUUAUGUGCUCUACAAUGCUACUAGUGAUCCGAUAAACCCUCACGUUCUCUCCGACUCCGCUUCACUGUCCUCGUCAACAGUCCAAGGUACUUCCUCUUAUCCUUUAACGGAUUAUGUUUCGGAUGAUUGUUUUUCACCAGGACAUAAGGUGUUUCUUGCUGCAAUCACGGCCAAUGUCGAGCCUAAGAAUUUUAAAGAGGCUGUUCAAGUUAAAGUUUGGAACGAUGCAAUGUUUAAAGAAGUGGAUGCUCUAGAGAUUAAUAAGACAUGGGAUAUUGUUGAUUUGCCACCAGGAAAGGUUGCAAUUGGUAGUCAAUGGGUCUAUAAGACUAAGUACAAUGCGGAUGGUACCAUUGAAAGAUAUAAAGCUCGGCUUGUCGUCCAAGGUAACAAACAAGUAGAAGGAGAAGACUAUAAUGAGACUUUUGCACCGGUUGUCAAGAUGACUACGGUACGUACUAUCCUACGUCUUGUUGCUGCCAAUGAUUGGGAGGUAUAUCAAAUGGAUGUCCACAAUGCUUUUCUUCAUGGUGAUCUUGACGAGGAGGUUUAUAUGAAGCUUCCUCCCGGGUUUCGUCAUUCUCAUCCUGACAAAGUUUGUCGUCUACGCAAGUCAUUGUAUGGCUUGAAACAAGCCCCUAGGUGUUGGUUUAAGAAGUUGUCUGAUGCUCUUCUCAAGUUUGGUUUUGUGCAAUCAUAUGAGGACUACUCACUUUUCUCCUACACACGAAACAAUAUGGAGAUCCGAGUAUUGGUAUACGUUGACGAUCUCUUGAUAUGUGGAAAUGAUGAGUAUAUGCUACGGAAAUUCAAGGAAUAUUUGGGACGUUAUUUUUUCAUGAAGGACUUGGGGCGGCUCAAAUAUUUUCUUGGUAUAGAGGUUAGUCGUGGGCCUGAAGGUAUUUUUUUAUCUCAACGUAAGUAUGCUCUCGACGUCAUAUCCGAUAGCGGCAAUCUUGGUGCUCGGCCCGCACACACUCCUUUGGAGACAGAUCAUCAUCUUGCGACGGAUGAUGGUCCUUUUCUUCCGGAUCCCAAACCAUAUCGACGACUCGUUGGUCGGUUACUUUAUCUUCUUCAUACUCGGCCUGAAUUAAGCUACUCAGUGCAUGUCCUGUCUCAAUUCAUGCAAACUCCUCGGAUGGCUCAUUUAGAUGCGGCGUUACGCAUUGUUCGUUUUUUGAAGGGAUCACCGGGUCAAGGUAUUUUGUUGAAAGCAAGCAAAGAUUUAACACUAGAAGUGUAUUGUGACUCGGAUUUUCAAACAUGUCCCUUAACUCGGAGAUCACUUAGUGCUUAUGUUACGUUGCUUGGAGGCUCGCCUAUUUCUUGGAAGACAAAGAAGCAAGACACAGUCUCCCACUCUUCCGCCGAAGCUGAAUAUAGAGCAAUGUCUGUAGCUCUUCGCGAAAUCAAGUGGCUGCGUAAGUUGUUGAAAGAUUUGGGCAUCGAACAGUCUGCGCCAGCUCGUUUAUUUUGUGAUAAUAAGGCGGCUCUUCACAUUGCCGCUAAUCCAGUCUUCCAUGAGCGUACCAAGCACAUUGAGUCAGAUUGUCAUUCGGUUCGUGAUGCGGUUCGUGACGGCAUCAUCACCACACAUCACGUUCGUACGGAGGAACAACUAGCAGAUAUUUUUACAAAAGCUCUUGGUCGUUCACAGUUUCUCUAUCUAAUGUCCAAGUUGGGCGUUCAGAAUCUUCACACUCCAACGUGAGGGGGAGUAUUAUAGAUAGAGUUUGGGCCGUAUGUUUAGGCCCGUUACUUGUCGUUCAAGUCAUUGUCGGUUUAUGUAAACCCUAGAGAUGUUCUCUAUAUAAGUCCUUGUAUCACGAUUUAAUAAAACAAGUCAGUUCGAUAUCUAAAUCUACAAAAAUCCGUGUCUGUUAAUGGAUCCAUCUAUUGGGUUAUCCACUGGGUCGUAUCUCGUUACAAGUGUUCACGGAAUUCUAGCACUGGAUCUUCACAAAGAAGAGUUCCAUUAUGUCUCUGUUCCGGAUAAGUGGGUCAAGCAAAGUACCCUGAUAGCCAACCUUGAUGACCGUCUAACCAUAGCCAAUACGCCUACGUCUGUUUAUUCUGACUGGAGACUAGAGAUAUGUAGCAUGAAUGCACAUGAAGAAAUAUGGAGCAAGACUUACUCCAUAAGUCUAGAUGGUCUUCUAGCUUUUAAGCUACCACGUUCAAGGUGGUGCAUGUGGUUCACGCCGCUGGCUGUUUCCAAGGAGGGGGAUCUUAUCUUUUAUAACAAUUACCAAUGGUUGUUCAAAUAUUGCCCAGAGACACGUGAGCUUCAUUGUCUCUCCUCUGAUAUAUGUGUUAUAUCUCCUUACCUCGAGAAUUUGGUCCCACUUCGGUCAGAGUCUGGACAUCAUCCGGAUCCGAAUGAUAAUAAAGUCAGGACAUCUAGCUGCGGAUUUUUUACCAAGCAUCCGGAGCCAGGCUCCGGGAUAUCCAAGUUUUUUAAAAGGAUCGGACUUGGGAUCCCAGAGAUUGUGUUUACCACUCUAGUUAUAGUUCACAUUUGGAUAACUCUCUAACACUUGCUUAUUAUGUAGUCUCUACUAUUUUUUUUGGUUCAGCUUUGUUCUCUUUUUAAAAUUGAAAAUCUGUUGAGUCAAAUCAAAUGGUGACAAAGGCUUAUUGUGUUCCCGUUUGAAAAGUUGAAUUUUAACGAUGCAAAAGGUCAAAAUCUUUCUAGUACUUGAUGGUAUAUACUAACUUUUUGACAUAUAUAAUAAACAUCUUUGUUAAGUCCAUUGAUGGUAUACUUUUUUCUAGUUCUAUCAUCUGCGACCACUGCUAUUGCUAGCAAUCGCAGCAUGCUUUCGCACUUUCUGCUUCAUGUAUGUUCAGGAAGAACUGAUCUCAGAACUACUCUGUUGAAUAUGGACAUACUUUGGUUCUUCAGAGGGAGCUCUUAACUCUUUCUGCAAGACAACAAGAGCAGGCGUUGUAAAAUCAUAUGCUGCUUUCUUGUUAGUUUAGUGAUGUUCCUUAAAAAAUCAACUCUGUUUUCAACGUAUCCAAGGCUUGGUCAGAAGCACUCCAACACGAAUUUAACCAUUUUCAGCUUGCUGCUUUUGAAAUGAUGUUUUAAGGUGAGUUGGGACAAUGGCACAUCUCAAAAAACAGUGCAAGCAAUUCAAGAUUCCCAUAUUGAGUAUUCGAUUGAUGCUACAACACACGAUCACGAUAUAAAUCCAUGCUCAAACUACUGACUACAACCAUCUAAAAUCAUUCGCAACAGAAAAGACCAACAAAAUCACAUUCAAGCCGACUACCAUUUUGUAAGACAAAAUCAUCCCGCCAUCUCUCGCUGUGCUUUCUCCGCAAAGAGCUUCGUAGCAACCAUAUUAUCCAUAAAAUACUCUCUGUAAGGAUGAUUCUUCGGGACAAGUCUCCUAAACUUCUCAAACUGUUUCUCCGCCUCAUCUUGCUUCUUCAACACUGUGUAUAUAAUCCCUUGACAUAAAUACGGCCUGAAAUCUCUCGGUUCUUCCUUCACAAGCUCCUCAUACAACUUCAAUGCUUCAUUAUGCUUCCCUUCAAUAACCCGAAUUUGCGCCACUAGUAGCUUAAAAUCCCUCAAAUCCUUACGAUUCUUCUCCUUCUUGCACCUCACCAUUGCCUCCUCAAUUCUCUCCUCCACCGCAUUCAAAUCAGCACCGGAAUCAGAAUAAGCCAUAACUAAGCCGUGAUAAGCGUCGACACGAAGCGGAUCCUUAACUAGAAUCUCUUCAAAACCAGUUUUAGCAGACUCUAAAUCUCCACUGUAACUAAAGAUAUUAGCUUUCAAAAUUGGCCAUUCCUUCUCCUCUGGUUCCAAUUCAAUCAACCUAUCAAUCAAUUCAAUAGCUUCUAUAAGCUUUCUAGAUUUGAUCCUUACCUCCAUUAAAGAUCGUAGAGCUUCCACAUCUUCAGGGUGAGAAGCAAGAUGAUCUUCGAGCGAUCUCUCUUCUUCUUCCAAUGAAACAUCUCCGUUGUUACUCUGUUUAAGAGAUUCCACUGACGGUGUCGCCGCCACAGGAGCCGCAAUCGCCGGAGAAGGUUUGAGCUGGAGAUUCACAAGGAACAGUGCCGCUGCAGCAGUGAAGGUGACGCAGGUGGAUUUGAGGAAUGAGAGCCUCGAGUCUUGGGAUUUGGAUGAUGAAGCUUUGAUUGAAACGCAUUUCAAGGAUGAUGUUGAUUUGGGUAAGGAUCUGAGAGAGAAAGACGAAGGUGUUUUAGGGAAAGAUGAAGAGAAGUGAGUGAAAGAGAGGUGAUUUGGUUGCUGAUGAAGAUGUAGCUUCCCUAGAGACUCCAUGAUUGCAGAGAGAGAGAGAGAAAACCCCUAAAAACCCUACAGUGAGAUACUGAGAUUUGAGGAAGAAGCAGAUCAAAAGGAGCCUUCGAGUUCGAAACUGCUGCAAGUUACGACGUCGAAUUUGGGCCUAAUAAAGGCCCAGGAUUAGAAGAGGAAAUGUAUUUAUCACAAAUCAAAACGCUUAUCUCUUUCCUUAAUCCAUAUAUUGUAAUCACGAAUAUGCAAAGUUUAUGCAUCUAGUAUCCUACUAACAAGUAACAAACUACAAUUAUCAUGAAUCAUGAUUUGUUGAUUUGUUCGAUAGACUGCUAAGGAUAUAUGAUUGUUGUUAGAAUUGUUCAUCUUCUUAUCAGUCUCAAGAAUUUGCAAACCACUCUGCUUUUGAGCUUUUUGUCCACUAGAUUGAUCUUUUUCUGAGGUUUUCAAGAACUUGCUUUAACUAUAUUAUAACUGCAGUGUUUGAGUUGUUUGGUGAAGAACACUCUUAAAUGUGCUAAGAUCUCGGACCAAAGGAUUCAUUAUCACUGCUCAAACAUUCUCACUGGUGCUUAUUGUGAAAAAUCUAUAACUACAUUAUUUAAGAACCAACAAUAUCUGUGGAAUGGUUUCACAAAGAUAAGAUUCCUAGAUUGAGUACAUAAGCUCAUUGAAACACAACCAUAGGUGAAAGGAGAGAGGACAUAGUAAGCUGACUCUUCCAUGAACAAGAAGAAUUCAGCAGAGAACAGAGGAUACACCAAAAACGACGAAAUGGAACUGAUUGUUAAGGCAGUAGGCAAACCAACCAUUGGAUGACAGAGAGAUGUCCACACAAGCUUACUUGUACUCAAAUGAUGGCACCGGAGGAGCAUCAAAACUCUCCAACACCUCUGUUUUACUUCCACUGCCUGGUUUCACCUCCUCAUUUUUCUUACCAAAAAGCCCUCCAAACCAUGAUGAUGAAGAAGCUGUACUCUGGUUUUGACUCUCUGACAUCAUCUGUGCUUGAUUCUGCAUCUGCCCCAUCUGCAUUCCUUGCAUUCCUUGUAUUCCUUGCAUUCCUUGCAUCCCAGGCAUUCCGGGCAUCCCAGGCAUUCCUUGCAUUCCGGGAUCCUCCAUCAUCAUAUUCUGAGGCUGAGCCAGUAGCUUGUUCAACAUUAUCCCAGCUCCUUCAAUCAAAGCAAGUAAAACCCCUCCAAAAGCCGCUGAUCUUGAAGCCGCGCCAACCCCCUGUCGCAUCGCAAGAAACCCUCCAGUUCAGCACCAGCGAUGAUAGAGUUCCACGGAUCCUCCUUCUGCCUAAGUACACCAUGGAACAGUCAAAUGUCGAGAAUAAACCUCCCCAUACAGCAAAACUGCCUCCAAGACGAGGAGCAUUCAUGCUCACAGCUUGUGUUCCUCCAACAAAGCGACUACCUUUGGGGGAAUUGUAAGUCCCUUUAAUGAAAUGAAAGGCAGAUCCUCCAACAGCUCCCAUACCAAAAGCACCACCGAUAUCGUCGAGGAUACGGUCAGGGCAAGGCUCUCGAGAUGUCUCUGGUGUUCCCAUUAAUUUAGCCCUGAUUUAUCCCAAUAGAUACCUCAGGCAAUGAUUCUAUCAAACCUGUAAUCAAACAAAGAUUGAUUCAUCAAAAAAUAGUAAGAAAAUUAGAGGAAAUAUUAAUCAUAUCAUUGUUUGAGUAAAUGAAACCAUCAAUCAUCGUCGAUUCUGAGGAAUUCUGAAAUUAGGGUUUUCUAAGUCACUGCGAAUCAACAAAUAGAUCUCUCUGUCUAAUUCCAAUUAAAUACUGACUAUCUACAAUCGAACGAAGAAGAUUAGGGUUUAUCAAAGCUCUGUACUUUACGAUCGAAGCAAAGCAUAGAAAAAGGUAGAAGCUUUGUGUAUAGAAAUGAAGCCACGAGAAAUGAGAAAGGCUGUUGUUGAUGUUAGAUGAGAAUCAAAGAAGCAAACCUGAGACUAAGGAGGAAUUAAUCGGCGGACGAGAGACGAGUUUGAGAGAGAGAGAGAAAAUGAAGGAGGUGCGACGGUGAGCGAGAGAAGGAAGAAAAUGAAGAAACGGCGUCAGGUUUUAUUAGGGUUGGGUAGAAAACAAAAAAAAAAUACAGCGACCAAACUAUUUGCGUUUUAGUUUUUCAGCUUGAUUUUUCCGACACUGUUGCGUUUUGCUCUAUUUUUUUUAAUAAUUUCCCUCUUUAUUUUAUUUUCCGGCAUCGCUCAUUUUUCUUUCUUUUCGAAUAUGGUUGCUUUAUUUUUAUUUUUAUUGUUUUUGACAAUUUCGUUGCAGUAAAAUUUAAAAAAGGUGCCAAAAGUUUUACAAUAGCCCAAACUAGUUAAAAGCCCUGAGAGAGAAAGUAAUUGAACCCAUUAUGAAAAGCACAAAUAAUUAGUAAAAGAUCUAAGUAGAGAAGCCCAUAGACGAAUGAUGUUGCGACCAACCAAAUCCUGUUUUAGCCAAGGAAGGUAGAGAAAUCGCUCUAUCUGGUCUCUGGCCGGAAAGAAGGAUCUCAAAAAGAAGAAUCAAAGAGCUCUUCUUAAAAAGCCUAUUGAGAAAUGGAAUGAUCAUUCUCUCAAACUAUUAUCAUCACGUAGAGAUACUCUCACUCUCAGUCGAACUAUGAAGAGCUUCAGGCUAAAGGUAAAUGCCUCUUACUCUUGUAAGCUAAACUAGUUUCACCCUUGUAAUUUCAUCUCUUAUCUAACCUGUGUGAUGCUCUUUAGAAAAUAAUGUCAUCACUGAAGGAGGAGCCAAUGGUUCUCUUUACAAAGAAGCUGGCAAGUUGUGCAAAGUGAUGAUAUGGGGGAGACUCUCCCGUGGAAGUAGCAGCCUCAAAGACACAUGUGUUACUGCUUUGGUUCUAGUUAUUGCUUUGGUAAUGUGUUGUCUUCUGCAUUGUGUUUAUGGAAACUACGAGAGAUCACAUGAAACAUUUGUUGCCCUUAUCUUUUUCUUUUUAUCUGUUACUUUGUUAGUUACGUUUUAGGUUUUGUUUAAACAGGUGCUUUGGUAUGGACACUAUUUUGUCUUCAAAUCAUAGAUGGUGUUCAGAAGAAUUUGUACCUAGUAAAUUCGAUUGGAAUUAUAUUAUAAUAAAAUCUAGAAAAUGUAUAUAUUGUAUAUAGAUGAUAAAUACAUUAAAAUCCAUAAAAUACUUGAAAAUCAACAACUUAUGUAUGUAAUUGAAUACUCUCAGAUUCAAUUACAAAUUCUUUGGUCUAAUUUUGUCAAAUAAAUGAUAAUGAUGAGGUAAUGAUCAUUUUUUCAUUUAUCAAUCUUCAAUAGUACGGAUUCAAACUUCUUUCAAAAAUAAAGAAAAUAAGUGUAGCAAAUCCACUUGACUCCGCCUUCUCCACCGGAGUUCGACUCCAGUAAGUCGCGUUACCCCGCGUAGUAGGGAUUGGCUAUGGAUCGGGCCUUGUCGAUCCAAAGAUGUCAAAAAAAAAAAAAAAAGUGUAGCAAAUCCAUCUUUUAUAUAUCUAUAACUGUAUUGCCAAGAAUGUUUGGAAGAAUAAAAUCAGUAAUUAGUUAUGACAAAAAAGAAAAAAAAAAAGGGUGAAUUGCAUGAAUAACCUAUUUCACUAAUAUAAUUAAGUUUAUAGCACCAUAAGUUACAAAAUAAAGAAAGUAACACCAGAGCUUUGUGCAAAGACCAAUUUAGGUUUUUGAAGAGAACAUGUAGAAAUAGAGAAAGAGAGAGGGAGAGAGCUAGAAGGUGACGUGUGUGUGAGAGAUAUAAGUCAAAGAAGAGAGAUAAUUAUGAUGACAUGGCCAAAAGUAACAUAAAUCCCAAAUAAGUUUGUAUGGUGAAUUAGUCUCAUUCAAGUAAUUGUGUAAAUCUUGCAAUAGUUUCAAAAAACUAUAUUUUUUUUCUGUGUAUAACAUGAUUUAAAUUUGAAAAAAAACAGCCAUGUAUAUUUCAUUGAACUGAAUAGUGUGUGAAACUAGAAACAUCUUAUACUAUAUCAAUAUCACAUGCAUAGACUUGAUAAAUAGAAUAGAAUGAGUGAAAAGAUAAGAAUAGAUGUGAAUGUGAUGGAUUCAGGAAAAUUUAAACAGAAUCUAAUAAAUUAGAUUGAGAGGAUGUGUGAGUGGAGGAAGGAAAAGAAAAAACAUAAUUGAGUCUCAAAUCUUGGGAACUUUCCCACUUGAAUCUUGGUGAAAAAAAAACUAUAUAGUGUAGACUUUAGUUAGAUAGAAUAGUAAGACUAUCUCCAAUGUAUUUCCCUAUUUAUAGCUCUAUCUCUAUAAUAGAGGUAAAUUUUCUCUAUUUUUACUCCAAUGUGUUCCUCUAAAAAGUUUAACUCUAUUUAUAGAGAAAAAAAUAGAGAUUAUCUAUUCUCACCUCUAUAUAUAGAGAAAAAAAUAGAGAUCUCUAUUUUAGAGGUGAGAAUAGAGGUGAGUUGGAGCAAAUUUGCUUCUAAAAUAGAGUUUAGAGGCAAAUAUAGAGGUGAGUUGGAGAUGCUCUAAUAGGUUUAAGUUUUCUAACAAUGGUUUAAGUUCUACUUUGGCAAAAUUGAUGGAGAAAGAAAUGGAAUCGGCGCCGAGAUCAUAACAUCUAUAUAUUUAAAAUUCUUCAAUGAAUCAAGGAUAUAAUUAAAAAGUAAAUGAAUUAGAUUUGAAGGCAUGUGGUGUUUACCAAAGCAGAAAAAAAUGUUUGAUUUGCAGAGACUAAUAAGAAAGAAAUGGAGAAAGAAAGAAAAAUAAAAGACAGUGAAAAAAGAUAGGUAGAGCAAAGCCUAAAGGGUAUUUUAGGAUAUAUUGUAAAUAAUAUAGAGAAUAUGAAUUUUUUUUUUGUCUUAGGUUAGUUACUUAAUUAUAGUUUUAUUGUUGGUUAUACACUCCAAUUUCUCAAAAAAAAAUCAGUAAUUAGUAGAUUUACAAUUAAUGGAAUUCCAUUUUUUUCCUUUUUUAAUGUUUACAAAUCAUAAACUUGUUGGAUUAUUGGAACAAUUUUUUGACUGGAAUAUUUAACUGAAAUACCUCUAAUCUACCAAUAUAUGAAAAUACUGAAACCAAAAAACUUGAUAUUUGCGACUUUUGUAACUUUUUUGAAAUUAAAGGUAGUGUGAGCUCUCUAGUACAAUUCAAAUUUGGAUCUGCUUCGACUCCCAACGGUUACUUACCCUAAUUUUCAAUUUUUUUCUCAAAAGUUCUCUUUCGAUCUCGAAGAUCCAUCAUCUUUUUGUGUUCCAUUCGAAUUCUUCUUUACACGGACAAGAUUCGGAUCUCUUUCGUGUAAGUGAAUCAAUUUUUGUUCUAAUUUGCGAAGAAAGUUGAAUUUUAUUUAAAAUUCGAAUCUCUGGGAUUCUGAAUCAAGCUUUCUCAAUUGAUUAGGGAAUCUGGAAUUCAAUUUUGAUUCCACAGAAAUCGAAGAUGUCGUUUACGCCGGAGGUGGUUUCAAGGAAAAGCGGAGUCGGAGUGGUUCCAUCACCGGCACCGUUUCUGACACCUCGUCUUGAGAGAAGACGACCCGAUUCUUUCUCUAACCGUCUCGAUAGAGAUAAUAAAGAAGUCAAUGUUCAAGUGAUUCUACGAUGCAGACCAUUAACUGAAGAAGAGCAGAAAUCUAAUGUUCCUAGAGUCAUCUCUUGUAAUGAAAUGAGAAGAGAAGUCAAUGUUCUUCAUAGUGUUGCUAAUAAGCAAGUAGACCGUGUUUUCAAUUUCGACAAGGUUCGGUCUCUUUCUACUUGAUGGUUUUUUGUAUUCAAGAUUGGUCUCUGAUGGUUUUUUUGUAUAGGUUUUUGGUCCUAAGUCACAACAACGGUCUAUAUAUGAUCAAGCUAUUUCACCUAUUGUUCAUGAAGUCUUGGAAGGUUUUAGCUGUACUGUGUUUGCUUAUGGACAAACAGGAACUGGGAAGACUUAUACUAUGGAAGGUGGAAUGAGGAAAAAGGUAUAAAGAGGUUCUUCUUGUGAGUGUCUCAUUUUGAUUUUUCAUGUUUUUGAUUUAUGUUUCUCUUGUAGGGAGGGGAUUUACCUGCGGAGGCAGGGGUGAUUCCAAGAGCUGUUAGGCAUAUUUUCGAUACUCUUGAGGCACAAAAUGCUGAUUACAGUAUGAAAGUAACAUUCUUGGAGCUUUACAAUGAAGAAGUUACGGAUUUGUUAGCUCAAGAUGAUUCUUCAAGAUAUUCUGAGGAUAAGCAGAAGAAGCCCAUUUCUUUGAUGGAGGAUGGGAAGGGUUCUGUGGUUUUAAGGGGUCUUGAAGAAGAAGUUGUGUAUAGCGCUAAUGAUAUAUAUGCUCUUCUUGAACGAGGCUCAUCCAAAAGGCGCACCGCAGAUACGUUGUUGAAUAAGAGAAGUAGUCGCUCUCAUUCAGUGUUUACUAUCACAGUCCACAUAAAGGAAGAGUCCAUGGGCGAUGAAGAGUUAAUCAAAUGUGGCAAGCUUAACCUUGUGGAUCUAGCAGGAUCUGAGAAUAUCUUACGGUCAGGAGCUCGAGAUGGCCGUGCAAGAGAAGCUGGAGAGAUUAACAAGAGCUUGCUCACACUAGGCCGUGUAAUUAAUGCCCUUGUGGAACAUUCUUCUCAUGUACCUUACAGGUACUUGCCCUGUCCUACAACUAUAUAUGAGUCUACUGUGGUAAUAUUUGUGUGUCUUGGAGCGUAAUUGUUGAUAUUUGUCUUUGCAGGGAUAGUAAGCUGACAAGGCUUUUACGGGACUCUCUAGGAGGAAAGACAAAAACUUGUAUCAUUGCUACAAUCUCUCCAUCUGCUCAUUCCCUAGAGGAAACUUUAAGUACCUUGGAUUAUGCCUAUCGUGCCAAGAACAUCAAGAACAAACCUGAGGUUUUGUUUAUGCUACCAUAUCUCAUCUUUAUUUGAUCAGUGUAUCCUUCUAACCAAACGUGUCUCUGCAGGCAAACCAGAAACUAUCCAAGGCUGUGCUGCUUAAAGACCUUUACUUGGAACUUGAGAGAAUGAAAGAAGGUUUACACAUAGAAGAUAACAUUAUGUCUAUAUUCUCCUGUUUUUCUUAUGCAAAUUAUCAAAUGAGCUACUUGAUUAUUAAUUGUUGUAUGAUCAAUGCAGAUGUAAGAGCGGCAAGGGAUAAAAAUGGUGUUUACAUUGCACAUGAAAGAUAUACACAAGAAGAAGCUGAAAAGAAGGUAAGUUCGAAGGACGGAACUUAAAGUCUAUAUUCAUUUCAUGCUUUGCUUAAUGAUUCUUUUGUUUCAGGCGAGAAUCGAGAAGAUAGAACAGUUGGAAAAUGAAUUAAAUCUCAGUGAAAGUGUACGUUUGCCUCACCUUUUCUUUUAUAGCUUUUAGAAACUAAACUAAUUGUCUCCAGUUGGAACUUAAGUGGCUUCUCUAAUGCAGGAAGUUUCAAAGUUCUGUGACCUUUACGAGACUGAGAAAGAGAAGUUACUGGACGUAGAAAGUGACCUUAAGGACUGCAAGGUGAUAAGAACUUCUGUGAUUUACUUUCUAGAUUACUCAUGCUUUCAGUGAUAGUUCUUGAUUUUUCAAACAUUCAUGAUCCAGAGAAACCUGGAUAAUAGUAACAAGGAGUUGCUUGAUCUCAAAGUGAAUUAUAUCCAAGUUACCUCAAAGUUAAAAGAAAGAGAAUUCAUCAUCUCAAGAAUGAAAGCCUCAGGUAAAAAUUCUAUCUCACAAAUUGUACAAGGGCUCCCCCUUUCUUGGGUUUGUUGCUUGAUUCGUUUUGCUGAUUUAUUCUUGGACAGAGACUACUUUGAUCGACCGCGCAAAGGGGUUAAGUUCUGAUUUGCAGCAUGCGUCAAACGAUAUAAAUUCGUUGUUCACAAGAUUAGGUACUUCUUCUUUCCUAUGUCUAGGGCUGAAAACAAGAUCUGUCAAGUGCUUAUUUUACUUAUUUCUGCAGACCAAAAGGACAAGCUGGAAUCCGAAAACCAGAGCAUGCUUCUGAAAUUUGGUUCACAACUUGAUCAAAACCUUAAAGAUUUGCACAGAACAGUUCUUGGAUCAGUCUCUCAGCAACAGCAACAAUUAAGAACUAUGGAAGAACAUACACAUUCAUUUCUUGCUCAUAAAUAUGAUGUAAGAAAAGACUAUAGCCAUGUCAUUUCACUUUUUGCUUUGGACCAUUUGUUCACUCUAGUAUUUGGUUUACACAAGCAGGCAACACGUGAUCUGGAAUCAAGGAUUGGGAAAACAGCAGACACUUAUACUUCAGGAAUAGCAGCCUUGAAGGAGUUAUCUGAAAUGCUACAAAAGAACGCCUCCUCUGAUCUGGAGAAGAUGAACACUUCUAUAGUAUCACAAAUAAAGGCUGUUGAGAAAGUAGGAACAAAAUUGAGCUAUGAACUACUACUUCACCUCUUGCUGUGUUUCUAUAUCUCAGCAUUUGUUUUGGUUAUAAUUGAUGUGCCUUUCUCUUCUCAGUUUCUCACUACAUCAGCAACAGAGGCUUCUGCAGUCGCUCAGGACAUCCACAAUUCACUUAACGAACAGAAGAAGCUCUUAGCAGUUGCUGCAAGACAACAAGAGCAGGUGCUGUAAAAAUCAUUUGCUGGUUUCUUGUUAGCUUAAUUAGUUUUCUGAAAAGUCAACUUUAUUUUCAACUUAUCCAGGGCUUGGUCAGAAGCAUGCGAUCUGCACAAGAAAUAUCGAACGCGACUUCAACCAUGUUUAGUAACAUCUACAACCAAGCUCACGGUGUGGUGGAAGCCAUUAGAGGUAGCCAAGCAGAGAAAGCAAGACAGCUUGAUGCUUUUGAAAUGAAGUUUAAGGUGAGCUGGAACAAACUCUUAAAGACUUCAGUUAUAUAUUCUGAGAGGUUCACACAAACUUUCUUCACUGAAAACAGGAAGAGGCUGAAAGAGAGGAGAAGCAAGCCAUAAAUGAUAUCAGUCUGAUAUUAUCAAAGUUAACUUCAAAGAAAACUGCAAUGGUGAGUCUUUAACCAUUAAUAACCCCAUUAGGCUUUAAUUAUUCAUCAGUUGAAUCGAACGUAAAGUUUGAUGCUCUACAUGUUUCUAGAUCUCUGAUGCAUCAAGCAAUAUCCGUGAAAACGAUAGACAGGAAGAGAAGAGAUUGUAUGAACAAAUGUCUGGUAUGCAGCAAGUCUCGAUUGGCGCAAAGGAGGAAUUGUGUGACUAUCUAAAGAAAGCGAAAACGCACUUCACGGAAAACACUAUAGCUUCAGCUGAGUCUAUCACAGUCAUGGAUAGUUACCUUGAAGAUUGGUACAAAUUCCAUCUCCCCACUGCUUUCGAUCCAAGCCUCUCAAUUAGUUUACAUUCCGUCUUCUCAUAUAAACAUUGUAUUUAUUGCAGCUUGGGAAGGGCCAAUGAUUCUAAAAAGUUGUGGGAGACCACUGAAAGAGGCAUAAAGAACCUUAACACGAAGUAUCAACAAGAACUUAAUGUCACAAUGGAGUAAGUUUUUUCGUUCUGUAUCCAUGCUUCCCUCUGUUUCCACAUCAUUUCACUGAAUAAACUCUCUACGUAUAGGGACAUGGCAAAAGAAAAUGAGAAGGUGCAAGAUGAAUUUGCAUCCACAUUUUCCUCAAUGGAUGCUAAAUUUGUCUCUAGGACUAAUGAACUUUACGCAGCUGUUAAUGGUAACCACACUAAAUCUUUGUUCCAUUCCCUACUCAAGAACUGCUUUUGCACUUCAGGAAGAAAACGUCCUAAUCCUUGGUUUUACAGACUCGUUGAUGCAAGACCGGGAGAACAAAGAAACAACGGAGGCUAUAGUAGAGACUUGCAUGAACCAGGUCACAUUAUUGCAAGAGAAUCAUGGACAAGCGGUAUCAAACAUUAGAAACAAAGCAGAACAGUCUCUCAUAAAAGACUAUCAGGUACUGAAGCAAUCAUAACAACCAUAAAGAUGGAAAAUCUAUAGUGUGAUCUAUAUGUGUAUAUAUUAACAGCAAAGCUUUUGAUACAAUGACCAGGUUGAUCAGCACAAGAACGAAACACCAAAGAAACAAUCCAUAAAUGUGCCAAGUCUGGCUUCGAUUGAGGAAAUGAGGACUUUGUUUUCGCAGAAUACACUCAGCGAAGAUCACACAAGUAAUUUGGAGAAAAGAUCAAUAAAAGAAGGACUUGACGAAGCAAACAACAGAACUCCAUUCUUGGAAGUAAACAAAUGAGUAAAAAAAAGCUUAUGUUCAUCAACUGGAUGAGUUUAGAAGAUGAAGACUGUGUAAAGGUUGUUAUGUAGUACGCAAGCUUAUGUUGUCAUGGAUAAUCUGGUUAUGUUUUGACAUUAAACCGGUAUGCAGAUUGCUGAGUUCUCAGAUUUAGGGAUGACGUUUCCGGUUAAAUUGGCUAAUGUUCUCAUUUUAAGUCAACCAAAAAUGAAAACAAGAAAAGUAAAGAGAGAACAAAAAGAACACAAGACUUGGCAUUGCUUCUACGAGAAAACAUAAUAAAGUCAAAAAUAAGCACAUAUAUCUCUAAUUUACCACUUUUUUACUUUGACUUGCUCUUCCAUAAAAUACAAUUGCUGUCGUCAAGAAUAUGUCACUGGUGACGAUUUCAAUAUAAUCUGACUGUUUAUUGAGCUCACAGCUCACAGUGAUUAGUUUCUAAGUAAGGUUUCUAUGUAUUUUUUAUUAAUAAAUUUUGAUAGUUUUGUAGUUUAGAGAUUUUGUAGAGUUUUUGAAAAUUUUAUGGUCCAUUGGUGGAAUCCUUAAGUGGGUUUCUAAAAAAUAAAAUAAAUUUUUUAAAAUUUUUUUGUUAAUAUUUUUAUUUGAACAAAUAUGAUUAUUAUUAGGAAUUAUAAAAUUUUAAACAUACAUGAUAUAAAAAGAAGAAGAAAAAAAAAACAUAUUAAAAUAGUCAUACACUUAAACAUAAAACAUAGACUUAAAACAAACACUAAGUCUGUUUUUCUGAUUUGAUGCAAUAUUAAGAGGAAAAACUGAACCUGAUUUUUCUGAUUUGAAUUCCAUUUUAUUUAUAACACAUUAACAAACUCUUGUUAACCACUCAUAAUGCUAAAACAUUAUAUAACCACCAUGUUUGAACUCUCCUUCUUCAUAACAUUAGAGAGACAGAGAAGAUUAAAGACUUGACACAUUUCAGAAGAAAGAAAGAAACAAACCAAAGCUCAUUGAUUAAGAACAACAAAACAUGCGACACACAAAACAAAUCUAGUGAUGUUGUUCAACAUUACAUAACACAUCUAAAAAUACACUAAUUUCGUAGACCAUAAACAUAAAUCAUAUAUGCUCAUUGAUUAAGAACAACAAAUCAUUAUCUGAAGCCUUAUGCAGAAGCAAGAUAUUUACCUUCUUUGAAAAAGGGGACCAACAAACCAAACAGCAGAUGGAUGAUCAACGACAUAAUGAACCAAGUUAUAUAUAUGAAUUAGAAACAGAGAUAGCCCCAAACCACUAGCACCAACAAAGUAAAACAAAUCAUGGUUCUGCUUGAUUAGUUCACUUAACCAAUGAUGACAAUCAAACAUUAGUAUCAUUGGUCGCUUGUGUUCCCAUACAUACAACAUCCGCUAUAAUUUCAGAGACACAUCCAAAGGAAAUCCAAUUCAGAAAUAUAACCGUUGUUCUGAUUAUGAUACAUCAAUCAUCAAUCAAUUUAUUGAACAACCUCGUCGUCGAUCAUCAUCCCGGCGGUUGAAAUUGCCUCCCAAUUUCAUGAUCGAUACGCCGGAAUUUGUAAUCGAAAGGGAUCGAUUCGAAUCGCCUAAUUUUCGUCGGAGAAACCAAAGAAAAGAAAAAGGAGAAACACGCCUCCCUUUUUUUUCUUUUGUCUAAAUUUUCACCCAAUAAUUUUUAGCCACGUCAGCG